GGACGAACGCUGGCGGCGCGCCUAACACAUGCAAGUCGAACGGAGUUUUUUGGAUUGAUUCUUUCGGGUUUUUGCUUAGUGGCGAACGGGUGAGUAACGCGUGAGGAACCUACCUUCCAGUGGGGGACAACAGUUGGAAACGACUGCUAAUACCGCAUAACGCAGCUAGAUCGCAUGAUCUUACUGCCAAAGCUUUAUGUGCUGGAAGAUGGCCUCGCGUCUGAUUAGCUAGAUGGCGGGGUAACGGCCCACCAUGGCGACGAUCAGUAGCCGGUCUGAGAGGAUGAACGGCCACAUUGGGACUGAGAUACGGCCCAGACUCCUACGGGAGGCAGCAGUGGGAAUAUUGGGCAAUGGGGAAACCCUGACCCAGCAACGCCGCGUGAAGGAAGAAGGCCUUCGGGUUGUUAAACUUCUUUUAGUUAGGGACGAAGAACGUGACGGUACCUACAGAAAAAGCAACGGCUAACUACGUG
rnacentral:rRNA from 1 species